CAUACAGAACGUUAAAAAGUGGUCUCUUUAUCAAGUUUGUUCUUGGUGCCUCUUGUUUUACUGCAAUAGGUUCUAUCAAGUUUCACUUAGAUAAUCAAGACCCCACUUUUUAAUGAAUCAAAGGAGGCCCAAGAGUAUGAAGGGUAAAGUUAAAUGGUUUAAUGCAGAAAAAGGUUAUGGUUUCAUCGAGCGCGAAGACGGUGGCGAUGUAUUCGUUCACUACUCCGCAAUCCAAACCGAAGGUUUCAAAACCCUCGAAGAAGGCGAGCCAGUUGAGUUCGACAUCGUUGAAGGCGACCGUGGUCCUCAAUCCGCUAACGUUGUGCGUCUAAACCACGCUUAAUUAGCUAAUAAAGCACUUUCCUAUCUAG
rnacentral:sRNA from 1 species